rnacentral:rRNA from 1 species
AGAGUUUGAUCCUGGCUCAGAACGAACGUUGGCGGCGUGGUUGAGGCAUGCAAGUCGCACGAGAACGGGGUAGCAAUACUCCUAGUAAAGUGGCGGAAGGGUGAGGAAUGGGUAGAUAACGUACCCUUGAGAUGGGCAUAACGGCUCGAAAGAGCCGCUAAUUCCCGAUGAGACCACAGGUGGGCAUCCACUAGAGGUCAAAGGCUGGGGAUCUUCGGACCUAGCGCUCAUGGAUCGGUCUACUCCCUACCAGCUAGUUGGUGAGGUAAUGGCCCACCAAGGCUGCGACGGGUACCCGGGCUGAGAGGCUGAUCGGGCACAUCGGCACUGAGACACUGGCCGGACACCUACGGGUGGCUGCAGUUCGGAAUAUUCGGCAAUGGGCGAAAGCCUGACCGAGCGACGCCGCGUGCGGGAUGAAGGCCCUUUGGGUUGUAAACCGCUGUCACAGGUGAGCAAAUCAUUCUGGAUGAAUAAGCCAGGAUGUUGAGUUAAGCUUGAGAGGAAGCCCCCGCUAAUCACGUGCCAGCAGCGGCGGUAAUACGUGAGGGGCGAACGUUGUUCGGUGUCACUGGGCUUAAAGGGUGCGUAGGUGGUUUCGUAAGUAAGGUGUGAAAGCCCUCGGCUUACCCGGGGAAUUGCGCCUUAUACUGCGAGACUUGAGGAUUUCAGGGGAAAGGGGAACUCCAGGUGUAGCGGUGAAAUGCGCAGAUAUCUGGGGGAAGGCCGGCGGCGAAGGCGCCUUUCUGGGAAAUUCCUGACACUGAGGCACGAAAGCGUGGGGAGCAAACAGGAUUAGAUACCCUGGUAGUCCACGCCCUAAACGAUGGAUACUAAGUAGGGGACCCUGCAAGGGUUCCUUGCCGGAGCA